rnacentral:rRNA from 1 species
AGUGAACGCUGGCGGCAGGCCUAACACAUGCAAGUCGAACGGCAGCACAGUAAGAGCUUGCUCUUACGGGUGGCGAGUGGCGGACGGGUGAGGAAUACAUCGGAAUCUACUUUUUCGUGGGGGAUAACGUAGGGAAACUUACUCUAAUACCGCAUACGACCUACGGGUGAAAGCAGGGGAUCUUCGGACCUUGUGCGAUUGAAUGAGCCGAUGUCGGAUUAGCUAGUUGGCGGGGUAAAGGCCCACCAAGGCGACGAUCCGUAGCUGGUCUGAGAGGAUGAUCAGCCACACUGGAACUGAGACACGGUCCAGACUCCUACGGGAGGCAGCAGUGGGGAAUAUUGGGCAAUGGGCGCAAGCCUGAUCCAGCCAUACCGCGUGGGUGAAGAAGGCCUUCGGGUUGUAAAGCCCUUUUGUUGGGAAAGAAAAGCAGCAGGUUAAUACCCCGCGGUUCUGACGGUACCCAAAGAAUAAGCACCGGCUAACUUCGUG